CAAAAUUACAGUUAUGAAGUAGCAACGAAAAUAAUUUUAUGGUUGGGGGUCACCACAACAUGAGGAACUGUAUUAAAGGGUCGCGGCAUUAGGAAGGUUGAGAACCACUUGUAUAAAAUAAGUCAAAGGAUUUGUUUUUCCCUUGAAGAGAGCUGGCUGGGGAUGGGACAAACUGGAAUGUGUUUCUUGGCUUCGGACAUGGAUCUAGCUAAGGGGAGUGACAGAGGAGAGAGGAUGAGGGAGCUCGGACAAUGGGGGGCUGAACAGGAGGAGAGAUUCACUUCCUCUGAGAAGAGAAGAAAGGAGGUGAGUAGUGUACGUGGGGUGGAGGAUGGGAGGCAAGAUAGAGGAGACAGAAAUGAGUAUAAAAGUACAGUUCACGCCCAUUGGCAUCUGCUUUCUCGGUGAAGGAGGUUAGAAAAGCCAUCUGCCAGGAGUGGAGGGGGCAGGAUGUAGGCAGAAGGUUGAGGAGGGGGCAAAGAUCUGUCUGACUGCUGACAGGGUGGCAAAGGGAGCCAACCAAAGACAAGAACAAAGAUGAAUGAGCAGACUCUGGUGAGGCAAUCUGCAGGAAUGUCGCUUUCUAGUCAGAAGAGUGAAGAGAUGGGCUGUAGGAGAAAUGUAGGGGUGAAGAGCUAAGAGGACUGGAAGAGUGACAUUUAGGUAGGCAAAAAAAGUAAGGCCAGGAGGGAACUGAUGAACCUAGAAAAAAAUGGUGGUGUCUAGGCACUGGAUGUCAUAAUAGGGAUGAAGAUAGGGUGUACUGCAAAUGACAAAUAUAAAGGAGAUUAAGAUUAAGUCACUGAAGAAGAGAGGCACUAUGGGUAAAAAUGUAACCCAUGGCAUGGCAGGAGCUGAGGUUGACCAGCUGACUAUUACCUGAACUCCUCAGAGACACAAAGUUGAUAAAUGACAGGAAGGAAGGAUGGAAGAAGGCAGAGCACAACAUGAACUUCAAAGGAGUGGGUGGGGCUGGUUUAAAAGCAUGCCAAUAUAUUUAAACACACCUAUAAAAAGCACCCUCAUCCACCGAACCUUAUGCUCAAUAACAUCAUUUCAAGGGGCACAAAUCGUGCACCCUAGCAAUUGCUUCUGGUACCUCAUCACGACCACAAAACAGUAGAAAGAGGCAAAGUAAAUGACCCCGGUAGUAUCCAUUCCCUCCAACUGGAUAGCUCAGAGAUGUCUGGAGACUGGAUUAAAAUAAUUGGACCCAACUCUGACACUGUCUUCUAAGAGACGUUCCCUUUCCAUAGAAAAGCGUUUACCUACGUGUGAUAAAGUGAGUGGGUUUGGGUCAACUGAUUACACUGUAGGAAUAUGAUUUUCUAGGUGCAUAAAUAUUUUUAAAAAACAUUUUAUAGCAAUUUACCUCUGGAUUUUUAUGGCCUGCCACAUUUUUUUGCAAUAAAAAGCAAGGAAACUCUUCUCUAAUGAAUGGCAGGUUUAAUUAUUCAUUAUAUAGACAUCAUUACUUUGCUUCAAACAAUAGAAAAUCAAGAGGUUUGAAUAAAGAAGUCAUUUAUGAUGGUAACAUUCCAUUCCCUUUAAAAAUCAACUAACUAUUCAACUUCUGGUGGAGUUACACAGCUAGAGAGUGGGCCUUAAACAUGAUUCAUUUCAGUGUUUCGGGGUGUAAUAGUGACUCAGAGCAGCUGAGUGUAGACCUCUCACCAAACCCAGGGGUGAGGGGAAGGAGAAUUCAGCGGGAAGAGCAGUGCUCUGGAGGAGCAGGGACACCCCUCACCCUGUUGGCCCUAUGAGGUGAGGUUUGAGCUUCACGUACACUCAACAUAUAUGCAACGGCAGGUCUCUGCACUAACUCCUGCUACCUACGGUCACUCUACUGUCACAAAGGGGGUUGAAAUGCAGCGCUAGAGCUUCCUCCCCAUUUACUGGACCAAGCGUCAAGAUAGGGUGUAGCAAUUUUGACAGAUCUCAGUCUGGUAGGUUCAGUAGCACCUGCUAGCAAGGUUGUCAGUUCUUAGCAACUCUAACAAUACGAGCUCACAACGCAGCUAUUGAUCAGGGGGACAAAGGGCCUCUGUCAGGCCUGCCGAGCUGAGGACUGUGCCAGGAGAGCUGGGCUGUUUAUUAGUUGACAUCACCCUGGAGGGGAGCAUGGUCUGCUUCCUCGUGCUCACUGCACCUCAGGCAAAUUGAAAUGUGAAUUUUCUGAUUAAAUAAAGCGUUUUGUGUUUGUUUGUUUUUUUUUUAAAUUGAGGACAGGUUCUCCCAGUGGAUUUCUGUCCUUAAACAUAGCAUAAAUGUUUAGAAAAAAAAGUGGGAUUACCAAUAGAAAGAUGGUGAUUUGUUUCAAUUCAGGGACAGGCAUCUAAACGUUUCCAAUAUUUUUAAACUUUGCCACCAAUGAGAAUAUUCUUUGUUUCACUGUGAAUCUGCCGACAAAGAAGCUUUGUCUGUGAAAAUAGGUGUGAUGGCUACAAUAACACAGAAUUUCCUUUUCAGUUCUUUUGACCUUGGAUUACUGAAAUUUAAACCAAAUAAACAUUUUAAUAUCUAACAGACAGAUGGUGUGAAGAUUAAAAAAAUCAUUUAACCAAGAGCCGUCCCAGGGCCAGUUGGGACAUCACUGGAUUCUACACAGGGUCACACAAUUCCCCACAAAGAGAAGACCACCAAAGAGGCUAACAAAAUGAAGGCCGCCUCUGGGGACUGCACCACUGGAUUCGCCUUCAGCUUCUCACUGGAUUCAGCGCCAGAGAGGCACCGGAGGACAGGGUGCAAGGAGAACGCCAUCUGUUCUCCUGAUACCUCCUCAGGCUGGCUACCUUCAACCCCCUCCCUCAGGUCUCAGCUCUCAUAAUGUGGUCCACUCCUGCAGCUGUUCUCCACAUCUGGCAACAGCUUCCUCCCUUUCCCGCUCCAGGCCCAGAGGAUCCGAGACAACAAAACCAAUAGGCCUGGAAUUGCCGAACACACCUGAGCGAAUGUGGGCAGGUGAAGACAGUAAGAGAAGGUACACCAAGUGUCAGAGUGACGCGCAGACUCUGGUUAGAAUGGAGGAUUAUUGUCACACCCACAAAUAUUCCCUCCUGACCCCAGAAGCCCGCCCUCCCUCCUACCUGUCCAGUCAGCACACCCAUCCCUUUCGGGACAUCUGCAGGCUAUCCCGACAUCCUCUCUGGGCAAGGGAAGCCUAGCCCAACCCAAUCUCAUCUCUGUUCAAGUCAUUCCAUAAGUAACUUUGGCAAAGAGUAACCCACCCUUUGCCACAUAUUGAGGGCUCUGGGCAACUUUCCCCAAAUUAACCUCGUGCGCAGGUUAAGAUUGUGCAUACACGUAAAAGACUAGCUUAAGUAGCAUCUUUGAGGGCAAAGAAAAUGCACCAUGGUUUACAUGAGUUUCUCAUCGUCAGGUAUGACAAAUGCAAACAGACCUGGCGACACCAUACCUUUCUUCCAUGGAAACCUCUUUCAUCUGCUGGUGUGGUUUGGUGCCCUCCAUUUCCCUGAUGCUCACGGCAUAGAUCUUGGUGGUGUAAUCAAUGGCCUUUUCUCUGGCAACAUCACUGUCAUAGCCUCAAAGGACAGAAAGGUGGAGAAUGGAGUUGGAUUGCCAUGGCUCAGGAGGGGGUGGGGAGGGAGGUGCGGGUGGCACGUGGCUGCUGGGACUCACCUCCAUCCUCUUCUGCGUCGGUGUCCGACUCCUCGCUGUCCACCAGCUUGCUCUCCUGUGUCCCCACAAACUCCCUGGUCCAGAUCAUCAGGGCCGUGUCGGCGCCCCCUACCGUGAGCAGCACGGAAUCGUUGUGCAGCCAUCUCACGUUGGUGACGUGGGCGCUGUGCCCCACAUACUUCUUGAAUCUCGCGUGCUGGCCCUGUGAAGCCAGAAACUGGCCAUUACCGCAUCGGGAGCCCCACUGCUCCUGACUCUGGAUUAUCUCAUCCACGUUAUUCUCUAGAGUGGCUUGUACUGGAUACGAAUGAAACAUUUAAGCAGCAAUUUCCUUACAUUCCUCUAGACUGUAAGCUCUAUGAAGGCAGGGAACCGGUCUCCUUUCCCCCUAAAACGUUACCUGGCUCACCACAGGUCCCCUUUAAAUAAUUUGUAAGGGAACAAGUAAAAUGUUGGACUACAGAAGCUAUUUCUGGGAGCGUAAGGAAGUAUAAGAAGCUUGUUUUUGUUUCUCUCAAAUAUCAAAUGUGGAUUCUCCCCAGGUCUCUGGCAUAAACUCCUGAUUGUGAGUCUGGCUGACAUUUGAGAUCAGAGGUGGCCUCCCCGUCACUCCCCACAGUGGCUUUUGUACCACAGCCCAGACUGUGGCUGACCAGCAAGGGACUUCUAAUCCUGAGGCCUCAAGGAAGAUUUGAAACACACACACCAGUUUCUGCCACGGACCCUGGAAACAAUUUCUAACACUGCAAGCACUCGACUAAUUGAUUUAAAAACAAACCAUCAGGACUCGCUACCACGACACGCCCCUUCCACCAAAUACUGAAAGAAUGGAGACUCUGCCCUGGCCAGUGUGGCCCAGUUGGUUGAGCAUCGUCCUGUGCACCAAAAGGUCACCAGUUUGAUUCCUGAUGAGGGCACAUGGCCAAGUUGCGGGCUGGAGUGUGUACAGGAGGCAACAGCUCAAUGUUUCUUCCUCACAUUGAUGUUUCUCUCCCUUCCUAAGAAAAUCAAUAAAAACAUAUUUACAAAAAAAUAUGGAUAAUCUGAAA